UACGUAGGGGGCAAGCGUUGUCCGGAAUCAUUGGGCGUAAAGAGCGUGUAGGCGGCUCGGUAAGUCCGCUGUGAAAGUCCAGGGCUCAACCCUGGAAUGCCGGUGGAAACUGUCGAGCUAGAGUCCGGGAAGAGGCGAGUGGAAUUCCUGGUGUAGCGGUGAAAUGCGCAGAUAUCAGGAGGAACACCCAAUGGCGAAGGCAGCUCGCUGGGACGGUACUGACGCUGAGACGCGAAAGCGUGGGGAGCAAACAGGG
rnacentral:rRNA from 1 species